UACGUAGGGGCCUAGCGUUGUCCGGAUUUAUUGGGCGUAAAGAGCUCGUAGGCGGUUCGGCAAGUCGGAUGUGGAAUCUCCACGCUCAACGUGGAGGGGCCAUUCGAAACUGCUGUGACUCGAGUCCGGUAGGGGAGUGUGGAAUUCCCGGUGUAGCGGUGAAAUGCGCAGAUAUCGGGAGGAACACCAGUGGCGAAGGCGGCAUUCUGGACCGAUAUUGACGCUGAGGAGCGAAAGCGAGGGGAGCAAACGGG
rnacentral:rRNA from 1 species